ACUCAUCAUCUGUCUCUUUUAAUACGAAGAGAGUGAGCUAUUGUGUAAGAGAAACGGUAGAUUUAUUGAGAGUUCAUAAAAUGACAAGAAGAUCACCGAGGAUAGGCUUAUCGGUUUUGGAUGCAAUCUACAUUUGAUACUAGUGUGGCCUGUUUAUUAAAAUGAGCCAAUACUUAAGUUCAGAAUCAUAUUUGAAAUUAAAAUUUGAAUUUAAAUUAAAUAGAAUUCAAAUU
rnacentral:lncRNA from 1 species